AGAAUGAACGCUGGCGGCAUGCCUAACACAUGCAAGUCGAACGAAGUCCUUCGGGGCUUAGUGGCGCACGGGUGCGUAACGCGUGGGAAUCUGCCCCUUGGUUCGGAAUAACAGCUAGAAAUGGCUGCUAAUACCGGAUGAUGACGUAAGUCCAAAGAUUUAUCGCCAGGGGAUGAGCCCGCGUAGGAUUAGCUAGUUGGUGUGGUAAAGGCGCACCAAGGCGACGAUCCUUAGCUGGUCUGAGAGGAUGAUCAGCCACACUGGGACUGAGACACGGCCCAGACUCCUACGGGAGGCAGCAGUGGGGAAUAUUGGACAAUGGGCGAAAGCCUGAUCCAGCAAUGCCGCGUGAGUGAUGAAGGCCUUAGGGUUGUAAAGCUCUUUUACCCGGGAUGAUAAUGACAGUACCGGGAGAAUAAGCUCCGGCUAACUCCGUGCCAGCAGCCGC
rnacentral:rRNA from 1 species